rnacentral:rRNA from 1 species
CAGUCGCCGCGGGAACACGUAGGUGGCAAGCGUUGUCCGGAAUUAUUGGGCGUAAAGGGCUCGCAGGCGGUUUCUUAAGUCUGAUGUGAAAGCCCCCGGCUCAACCGGGGAGGGUCAUUGGAAACUGGGAAACUUGAGUGCAGAGGAGGAGAGUGGAAUUCCACGUGUAGCGGUGAAAUGCGUAGAGAUGUGGAGGAACACCAGUGGCGAAGGCGACUCUCUGGUCUGUAACUGACGCUGAGGAGCGAAAGCGUGGGGAGCGAACAGGAUUAGAUACCCCCGUAGUCCCUGUCUCUUAUAC